UACGGAAGGCAGCAGUGGGGAAUUUUGGACAAUGGGGGAACCCUGAUCCAGCCAUGCCGCGUGAGUGAAGAAGGCCUUCGGGUUGUAAAGCUCUUUCGGCCGGGAAGAAAUCGCCAUCUCUAAUAUAGGUGGUGGAUGACGGUACCGGAAUAAGAAGCACCGGCUAACUACGUGCCAGCAGCCGCGGUAAUACGUAGGGUGCGAGCGUUAAUCGGAAUUACUGGGCGUAAAGCGUGCGCAGGCGGUUUUUUUAAGAUAGGCGUGAAAUCCCCGGGCUUAACCUGGGAACUGCGCUUAUGACUGAAAGACUAGAGUACGGCAGAGGGGGUGGAAUUCCACGUGUAGCAGUGAAAUGCGUAGAGAUGUGGAGGAACACCGAUGGCGAAGGCAGCCCCUGGGCCGAUACUGACGCUCAUGCACGAAAGCGUGGGGAGCAAACAGGGAUUAGAUACC
rnacentral:rRNA from 1 species